UAUUGCUCUUGAGCCAUUAGCUUGAUCCUACUUCUGCUCUGUGGAGUAUACUUUCAUUUAAAAUAAAUCUCUGCUUUUCUUGCCUUGUGUGUUUUGUCCAGUUCUUUGUUCAAAACACCAAGAACCUAAACAACUAUGCUCAACUGGUAACACAUUUUGGUGAGCCAGCAAGGAGGUAAGCCCAAAGUUUGGGAUUUGGUUUUACUGUUUCCUCUUUCUCUCUCUUUUUCCUUUUCAAGCUGGGAUUCUUGAUGGACACUGUGCCUAAGCAUGGAGGCAACUGCAGGUUUCUGGCCAGGGUCACUCUCUGGUGAAAAUGAAAGGUCCAUGUGGAAACACCUGACUGCCACCACCUGGUUCAGGAAGAAGAUAAAUGGAUGAUAUAAAAUGAAGUGGGUGAAACUUCUAAAGAGAAAAAAUACAAUGUCUGAAAAAAAUACAAUACCUGAAAAAGCAGUCAUUGGAUGAGCUUAAUAGCAGUUGGUAAAAAUGCCUUUGCAAAAAUUUUAGCUGAGAAAAUUAUUACAAUAAAAGAGAUCUGACCUGACUGACUCCAUCUCACUUUUCUACGGAAGGAGUAUAUAUAAUACAUAUUUGUAUCUCCAGCACUUAGUAGAAGGAUUGGCAUAAGAUUAUUUAAAGAAUAAAUAAGUAGGGCCUGUGUGGUGGCUCACGCCUGUAAUCUCAGCACUUUGGGAAGCCGAGGAGGGUGGAUCAUGAGGUCAAGAGUUCGAGACCAGCCUGACCAACGUGGUGAAGCCCCAUCUCUACUAAAAAUACAAAAAUUAGCUGGGCGUAGUGGCGCGUGCCUGUAAUCCCAGCUACUCAGGAGGCUGAGGCAGGAGAAUUGCUUGAACCAGGGAGGUGGAGGUUGAAGCGAGCUGAGAUUGUGCCACUGCACUCCAGCCUGGGUGACAGAAUGAGACUCCGUUUCAAAGAAUAAAGAAGAAAUAAUGACUUCAUUGUUCCAACUUUGGGUUUAAGGUUUAUACACUUACCAUAAACAAUAAUAAAAUACCAUUAACAAUAAUAAAAAUAAAAUUUCUCUUAAGCUUCAUUCUUAUGGCUUAUUUAUUUGAAAAUCAAAAUAUA
rnacentral:lncRNA from 1 species